GUAGGUGGCAAGCGUUGUCCGGAAUUAUUGGGCGUAAAGCGCGCGCAGGCGGUUCUUUAAGUCUGAUGUGAAAGCUCACGGCUCAACCGUGGAGGGCCAUUGGAAACUGGAGAACUUGAGUACAGAAGAGGAAAGCGGAAUUCCACGUGUAGCGGUGAAAUGCGUAGAGAUGUGGAGGAACACCAGUGGCGAAGGCGGCUUUCUGGUCUGUAACUGACGCUGAGGCGCGAAAGCGUGGGGGGGAGCAAACAGGAUUAGAUACCCUGGUAGUCCACGCCGUAAACCGAUGAGUGCUAAGUGUUAGGGGGUUUUCCGCCCCCCCCUUAGUGCUGCAGCUAACGCAUUAAGCACUCCCGCCUGGGGAGUACGGCCGCAAGGCUG
rnacentral:rRNA from 1 species